rnacentral:rRNA from 1 species
AUUGAACGCUAGCGGCAUGCCUAACACAUGCAAGUCGAACGGCGUGGCGAACGGGUGAGUAAUGUAUCGGAACGUGCCCAUUAGUGGGGGAUAACUACGAGAAAGCGUAGCUAUUACCGCAUACUAGUGCAGCGGUCUAUGUCGGCUUGGCUAGUUGGUGGGGUAACGGCUAACCAAGGCGACGAUCCGUAGCUGGUUCGAGAGGACGACGAGCCACACUGGGACUGAGACACGGCCCAGACUCCUACGGGAGGCAGCAGUGGGGAAUUUUGGACAAUGGGGGAAAGCCUGAUCCAGCCAUGCCGCGUGUGCGAAGAAGGCCUUCGGGUUGUAAAGCACUUUUGGCAGGGAAGCGGUACCUGCAGAAUAAGCACCGGCUAACUACGUGCCAGCAGCCGCGGUAAUAC